rnacentral:tRNA from 2 species
GGUGAGAUGGGUGAGUGGCUGAAACCACCAGUUUGCUAAACUGACGUACGGGAAACUGUACCGAGGGUUCGAAUCCCUCUCUCACCG